AGACUAAUCAAACCAUCUAGUAAAUAGUUCACUACAAAGUUUCCCUCAGGAUUGCUAAAGUCCUUAGUGAGUUUUAUAAGGUAAAGCCAAUAAAGGCAUCAAGGGUGCAGCAUCUUCUUCUUAUUCUUAAACUUUACAUAUACAGGAUGAAGUGACUACUUCAUUGAGCUACGCCUUGGAAUUAAGAACUCCAAGUGGGCCAUUUUUGGUAAGCAAAACUGGCAAUGCAGGAUGAACUAAAAGUCAGGUUACGGUGCCCAAUUAUGUGAUAACCUACAACCCACAAAGGAUGUUGGUCGAUUAAGAUAGUAGGAUAGUGGUCAUGGAAGUUGAAAUUCACUAAGGAAUGUGUAACAACUAACUUACCAAAUCAACUAGCCCCAAAAAUGGAUAGUGCUUAAGCGUGCGACCCAUACCCAACCAUCAAGGUAAGGGCCAGGCCCUGAAAUGUAAGAAAGGGUAGCAGUUAUCACAAAAUCUAUGGUGCGAGCCUAAGUAAAGUGGCUGUCAGUACAUAUCUUGAUGGUAGUAGCAAAUAUUCAAAUUAGAACUUUAAAGGCCAAAAAGGGGAAAGAUUCUAUGUGAACAACACUUGCACAUAGGUUAGUCGAUCCUAAAAGAUGGUAAAAGUCUAUCCAACAAUGUGUCUAGUGCAAGCAUAAAAAAAGAAUCAAGUUAAAAUUUCUAAACCAAGAUGUGGUGGCUGACAACAACAAUAGGGAGUUCGAGACAUCAACGAGGGCUUCAGGAAAAGUUAUCUUCUCUACUUAAUAGCCACCCACCAUGGAAAUGGCUCAACCAAAGGUAGGGUCUAGCUAUCGAAAAAGCACUACACAUCACAUGGUGUUUGAUGCAUCUUGGCUAUGCUUGAAAACUUGGAGGAUCGAGGGUUAUCCACACCUGGUCAUACUCAUAACCGCAUCAAGUCUCCAAGGUGAAUAGCCUUUGGUCAAUAGAACAAUGUAGGCAAGGGAAGUCGGUAAAAUGGAUGUAAACCAUGGGAAAAAGACUACCUCUAAGGGCUGGGCAUAAAGGUCCCAGUCCUGAACCCAUCGGCUACCAGGGCAUUACUUGAGCUUCUCCUAUGGUGAGAGUGGGUUGCCACAUGCUGGCUAAGGGAUGGACUGGGAAGGGUUCCAUCAAGGACCUUUCCUAGGUGAUAAACAGUUGACUCAAAAUUGGUAUGAAAAAGGGGAAUCCAGCUGUUUAAUUAAAACAAAGCAUUACGAUGGUCCAUAAGGCUGCCUAUGCAAUGUGAUUUCUACCCAAUCCUCUAAAUGUCAAAGUGAAAAAACUCAACGAAGCAUGGGUAAAUGGUGGGAGUAAAUAUGACUUUCUUAAGGUAGCCAAAUGCCUUAUCAUCUUAAUAGUGAUGCACAUGAAUGGAUUAACAAAAUUCUCAUCGUCUCUGUCUACUAUCCAAUGAAACCAUAGCCAAAAGAACGGGCUGGGUGGAAUUAGUGAGGAAAGAAGACCCUAUUGAGCUUGAUCUAGUCUGACUUUGUGAAAUGAGGUGUAAGAUAAGUGGAAGCCUUCAGGAAUGAAAUACCAUAGCUUUUAAUGUUAUUUUACUUAUUCCAUGAAUCGAAGGUGGGGCAUGACCCUUUCAUUUAGACUUAAGGUUAGCCUUAGUCAAUCGAUUCUGGUGGAAGACAUUGUUAGGUGGGGAGUUUGGCUAGGCUAGCACAUUUGUUAAAAGAUAAUACAUGUGUCCUAAGAUGAGCUCAAUGAGAAUAGAAAUCCCAUGUGGAAUAAAAAGGUAAAAGCUCAUUUGAUUCUAAUUUCUAGUACGAAUAUGAAUCAUAAAAGCAUGGCCUAUUAAUCCUUUAGACUUUUAAAACUUAAAGCUAGAGGUGUUAAAAGAGUUACCACAUGGAUAACUAGCUUAUGGCAACAAGUGUUCAUAGCAACAUUACUUUUUUGUCCUUCAAUGUCAGCUCUUCCUAUCAUUAUGAAGUAGAUUUUGCCAAAUGUUGUAUUAUUCACCCACCAAUAGGGAAUGUGAGUUGGGUUUAGACCGUUAUGAGAUAGGUAGGUUUUACGCUACUGAUGGAAGAGUUGUAAUAGUAAUUUAACCUAAUACAAGAAGAACUAUUGGUUCUCACAUUUGGUCUUUACUUAUAGUAAUUUAACCUAGUAUGAAGCUAUCAUAUGCUGAAUUAUGAUUGAAUGCCUCUAAAUCAAAAUCCAGGCUAGAUGUGAUGCACACAUCUAUUGCUCAAUUGCUAACCUAUAAUAGAGGCCUAUGACCCCUAAGGGCACGUGUCAUAGGUGCAACCCUUAUGGCAAACAAGCGACAUAGGCCUUCUUAGAGCUUAAUUCCCAUCAAGUGAUGGGUAGAAUCCUUUGCAGAAGACUUAAAUAUGUGAUAGGGUAUUAUAAGUGUCAAAGUGGCCUUGCUACCACAAUCUACUAAGAUUCAAC
rnacentral:rRNA from 1 species